rnacentral:rRNA from 1 species
GACGAAGGAUGCAAGCGUUAUCCGGAUUCAUUGGGUUUAAAGGGAGCGUAGGUGGUCUUAUAAGUCAGCGGUGAAAUCUCUGGGCUUAACCCAGAAAUUGCCAUUGAUACUGUAGGACUUGAGUAUAGUUGCCGUUGGCGGAAUAUGACAUGUAGUGGUGAAAUACAUAGAGAUGUCAUAGAACACCGAUUGCGAAGGCAGCUAACGAAACUAUAACUGACACUGAAGCUCGAAAGUGUGGGGAUCAAACAGG